rnacentral:rRNA from 1 species
AUCCUACGGGACGCAGCAGUGGGGAAUAUUGCACAAUGGGGGAAACCCUGAUGCAGCAACGCCGCGUGAGUGAAGAAGUCAUUCGUGAUGUAAAGCUCUAUCAGCAGGGAAGAAAAUGACGGUACCUGAGUAAGAAGCCCCGGCUAACUACGUGCCAGCAGCCGCGGUAAUACGUAGGGGGCAAGCGUUAUCCGGAUUUACUGGGUGUAAAGGGAGCGUAGAAGGCCAGACAAGUAUGAAGUG